rnacentral:lncRNA from 1 species
UACAAUAUCCAAUUUCAAAACCAAAAUCAAGAAUCAUAUCCAUCAAAAUUCAGUACGACACAAUUUAAAAGCCAACAAGCAUUCAUAUAUUUAAACAAGAACAAUUAUAAAAUUCAGUACGACAUAAAUGUUACAGCUGAACAAUCACCCAAAAGCCAACAAAAGCCAACAAUCAUAUACGUUACAGCUGAACAAUCAAAAGCCAAAAGCAAUGUUUUAACAAAAUCAGCAUCCCUACCAAUAAUGCAUCUAGCUAGGUAGCUUCACUUCAAUCUUCCUCAUCGCCAUCACCAUCAUCAUCCCCAUCAAUGUAAUUCUCCGAACUCUCACCAUCAGU